AACGUAGGUGGCGAGCGUUAUCCGGAUUUACUGGGCGUAAAGCGUCCGCAGGUGGCAGUUCAAGUCUGCUGUCAAAGACCGGGGCUUAACUUCGGAAAGGCAGUGGAAACUGAACAGCUAGAGUAUGGUAGGGGCAGAGGGAAUUCCUGGUGUAGCGGUGAAAUGCGUAGAGAUCAGGAAGAACAUCGGUGGCGAAGGCGCUCUGCUGGACCAUAACUGACACUCAGGGACGAAAGCUAGGGGAGCGAAUGGG
rnacentral:rRNA from 1 species